rnacentral:rRNA from 1 species
UACGAGUGGUGCAAGCGUUAUUCGGAAUAAUUGGGCGUACAGGGUGUGUAGGCGGCAUGUUAAGUCUGUUGUUAAAUUCUCCGGCCUAACCGGAGACAGGCAGCGGAAACUGGCAAGCUAGAGGGUGGAAGAGAGAAGUGGAAUUCUCGGUGUAGCGGUAAAAUGCGUAGAUAUCGAGAGGAACACCGAUGGCGAAGGCAGCUUCUUGGUCCAUACCUGACGCUGAAACACGAAAGCGUGGGGAGCAAACAGGAUUAGAAACCCUUGUAGU